rnacentral:rRNA from 1 species
UGGAUCCAGACUUUGAUCAUGGCUCAGGAUGAACGCUAGCGGCAGGCUUAACACAUGCAAGUCGAGGGGCAGCGCGGGAUAGCAAUAUCCUGGCGGCGACCGGCGGAAGGGUGCGUAACGCGUGAGCGACAUGCCCGUUGCCCGGGGACAACCGGUGGAAACGCCGACUAAUCCCCGAUGGGAUACGAUGCUUCAUGGCAUUGUAUUGAAAGUUACGGCGGCGACGGAUUGGCUCGCGUCCGAUUAGCUGGUUGGCGGGGUAACGGCCCACCAAGGCUACGAUCGGUAGGGGUUCUGAGAGGAAGGCCCCCCACAAUGGGACUGAGACACGGCCCAUACUCCUACGGGAGGCAGCAGUGAGGAAUAUUGGUCAAUGGGCGGAAGCCUGAACCAGCCAUGCCGCGUGCGGGAAGGAGGCCCUAUGGGCUGUGAACCGCUUUUGCCUGGGGGCAAUAAGGGCGUCGCGCACGUCCGAUGAGAGUACCAGGCGAAUAAGCAUCGGCUAACUCCGUGCCAGCAGCCGCGGUAAUACGGGGGAUGCGAGCGUUAUCCGGAUUCAUUGGGUUUAAAGGGUGCGUAGGCUGUGCGUCAAGUCGGGGGUGAAAUUCCGGUGCUCAACACCGGGGCUGCCCUUGAUACUGUCGCGCUGGAGUGCGGAUGCCGCCGGAGGAAUGAGUGGUGUAGCGGUGAAAUGCUUAGAUAUCACUCAGAACACCGAUUGCGAAGGCAUCUGGCGAAUCCGUAACUGACGCUGAGGCACGAAAGCGUGGGGAUAGAACAGGAUUAGAUACCCUGGUAUUCCACGCCGUAAACGAUGAUGGCUAACCGCCGGCGACACACUGUCGGUGGCCAAGCGAAAGCGAUAAGCCAUCCACCUGGGGAGUACGUCGGCAACGAUGCAACUCAAAGGAAUUGACGGA